rnacentral:lncRNA from 1 species
AAGAAGUUACAUUUGGGAGAUUAAGAGAGAGGCACGACACGCAGGUCGUAUUUUAAAAACCCAAAACAAAACAAAGGAAAACUAAGGCCAUAACCGAUCACCACAAGACAAUAAUAAACACUUUAUUAUUAUUAUUAUUAUUAAUUCCUUUAAUUAAUUAAAAUCAAAUUAAAUUUCGACGACCGAUCACACUACGCAGAGUUAGCCGGGGGUCCGCUGCCCGGAUAGCGGGAACGGG